GUGGAUGUGGCUCAGUGGUAGAGCGCUUGCCUGACAAAUGCAAGGUCAUGAGUUUAAUUCUCAGCACCACA
rnacentral:tRNA from 1 species